AACCAAACAGCUAGCCUUAUAAAACAAUUACAACAAUUAACUAUUAAUAACCCCUAAAACACCACAAAAAUUCAAAUAAACCAUUUUUCCACCUUAGUAUUG
rnacentral:rRNA from 1 species